AUGUAGGGAACUGAUUCAGCCAUUAUUCCAACCCGUUGUUUAGCAUUAUGCAGCCAAAUAGACACAAGCGUCAGUCUUUGCAGCAGGGGAAAAAAUAAUCUAAUCAGAAGCUGCAUAGUUUCAGUGCAACUUUUGGCCUGUUUCUUGGGCCUGCUUGUAACACUGGUGAAUUCCAUAAAUUCUGACAUGUAACAUCUGAGCAGUUGGUAAAAAUAAGAAAUAGUAACAGUGCCA